rnacentral:lncRNA from 1 species
CAGGUGAUCCGCCCGCCUCAGCCUCCCAAAGUGCUGGGAUUACAGUGCCAACUGACAUGAACAACCCAGCUUACUGCAGCAAAACAGAUCAUAUAGACGAGAAGGAAACCAAGAGACAAGGUGAAGAAUAUGUAAUAUUCUCAAGACCUAAGCCAUGAUGAUGUUUCUGGGACUAAACUUAGAUUAAAGAAUCUACUUCUUCUUCAUUUGUUUUCUGUAUAAUUUGUUAUUCCUUUCAACUUAAAUUAUUUUCUAAUGAAAUGUUCUGCUUACAUUUUUUACCCUCCUACAAUGAGACAAAUAAUAAAUUCAUAAAUAUUGCUUGCAUAAUAGGGGACCAAUAUAUAUAAUGCAUAUAUUAUAUAAUGUAUAUAUAACGUCUUUUAAAUGAUAAAGGAAAAAAUAAUUUCUAAAUGUAUACACUUUCAUUGAAAGCAACCUUAGAGAUUAAAAAAAUGCGGCCGGG